rnacentral:rRNA from 1 species
GAUGAACGCUGGCGGCGUGCCUAAUACAUGCAAGUCGAGCGAACAGACGAGGAGCUUGCUCCUCUGACGUUAGCGGCGGACGGGUGAGUAACACGUGGAUAACCUACCUAUAAGACUGGGAUAACUUCGGGAAACCGGAGCUAAUACCGGAUAAUAUAUUGAACCGCAUGGUUCAAUAGUGAAAGACGGUUUUGCUGUCACUUAUAGAUGGAUCCGCGCCGCAUUAGCUAGUUGGUAAGGUAACGGCUUACCAAGGCAACGAUGCGUAGCCGACCUGAGAGGGUGAUCGGCCACACGGGAACUGAGACACGGUCCAGACUCCUACGGGAGGCAGCAGUAGGGAAUCUUCCGCAAUGGGCGAAAGCUUGACGGAGCAAAGCCGCGUGAGUGAUGAAGGUCUUCGGAUCGUAAAACUCUGUUAUUAGGGAAGAACAAAUGUGUAAGUAACUAUGCACGUCUUGACGGUACCUAAUCAGAAAGCCACGGCUAACUACGUG